ACGAACGCUGGCGGCGUGCCUAAUACAUGCAAGUAGAACGCUGAAGAGAGGAGCUUGCUCUUCUUGGAUGAGUUGCGAACGGGUGAGUAACGCGUAGGUAACCUGCCUUGUAGCGGGGGAUAACUAUUGGAAACGAUAGCUAAUACCGCAUAACAAUGGAUGACACAUGUCAUUUAUUUGAAAGGGGCAAUUGCUCCACUACAAGAUGGACUUGCGUUGUAUUUGUUAGUAGGUGAGGUAAUGGCGCACCUAGGCGACGAUACAUAGCCGACAUGGGAGGGUGGUCAGCCGAAAUGGGACUUGAACACGGCCCACGAUCCUGCAGGGAGGCGGCGGAGGGAAACGUUGGCAAUCGGGGGAAACCUGGCCGAGCAACGCCGGCGGGUGGAAGAAGGUUUUCGGAUUGGAAAGCUCUGUUUUAAGUUAAGAAAGGGUGUGAGGGUGGAAAGUUCACACUGUGACGGUAGCUUACCAGAAAGGAACGGCUAACUACGUG
rnacentral:rRNA from 1 species